GCUGGAAUGGCCGAGUCGUUAAGGCGAGUGAUUUGAAUGUCCAAAUUUAUCACUUGGUGUUUCACCGCGUAGGUUCAAAUCCUGCUUCCAGCG
rnacentral:tRNA from 1 species